UAUAAUAAAAAAUUUUUACUCGUCAGACGAACGCUGGCGGCGUGCCUAAUACAUGCAAGUCGAACGCUUCUUUCCUCCCGAGUGCUUGCACUCAAUUGGAAAGAGGAGUGGCGGACGGGUGAGUAACACGUGGGUAACCUACCCAUCAGAGGGGGAUAACACUUGGAAACAGGUGCUAAUACCGCAUAACAGUUUAUGCCGCAUGGCAUAAGAGUGAAAGGCGCUUUCGGGUGUCGCUGAUGGAUGGACCCGCGGUGCAUUAGCUAGUUGGUGAGGUAACGGCUCACCAAGGCCACGAUGCAUAGCCGACCUGAGAGGGUGAUCGGCCACACUGGGACUGAGACACGGCCCAGACUCCUACGGGAGGCAGCAGUAGGGAAUCUUCGGCAAUGGACGAAAGUCUGACCGAGCAACGCCGCGUGAGUGAAGAAGGUUUUCGGAUCGUAAAACUCUGUUGUUAGAGAAGAACAAGGACGUUAGUAACUGAACGUCCCCUGACGGUAUCUAACCAGAAAGCCACGGCUAACUACGUGCCAGCAGCCGCGGUAAUACGUAGGUGGCAAGCGUUGUCCGGAUUUAUUGGGCGUAAAGCGAGCGCAGGCGGUUUCUUAAGUCUGAUGUGAAAGCCCCCGGCUCAACCGGGGAGGGUCAUUGGAAACUGGGAGACUUGAGUGCAGAAGAGGAGAGUGGAAUUCCAUGUGUAGCGGUGAAAUGCGUAGAUAUAUGGAGGAACACCAGUGGCGAAGGCGGCUCUCUGGUCUGUAACUGACGCUGAGGCUCGAAAGCGUGGGGAGCAAACAGGAUUAGAUACCCUGGUAGUCCACGCCGUAAACGAUGAGUGCUAAGUGUUGGAGGGUUUCCGCCCUUCAGUGCUGCAGCAAACGCAUUAAGCACUCCGUCCUGGAUGACC
rnacentral:rRNA from 1 species